GACGAACGCUGGCGGCAUGCCUAAUACAUGCAAGUCGAGCGGACAGAAGGGAGCUUGCUCCCGAAAGUCAGCGGCGGACGGGUGAGUAACACGUGGGCAACCUGCCCCUUAGAUUGGGAUAACUUCGGGAAACCGAAGCUAGUACCGAAUAAUACAAGGAACCUCCUGGUUCUCUGUUGAAAGAUGGCCUCUGUGCUGUCACUAAGGGAUGGGCCCGCGGCGCAUUAGCUAGUUGGUAAGGUAACGGCUUACCAAGGCGACGAUGCGUAGCCGACCUGAGAGGGUGAUCGGCCACACUGGGACUGACACACGGCCCAGACUCCUGCGGGAGGCAGCAGUAGGGAAUCUUCCGCAAUGGACGAAAGUCUGACGGAGCAAUGCCGCGUGAGUGAGGAAGGCCUUCGGGUCGUAAAGCUCUGUUGUGAGGGAAGAACAAGUACCGGCGUAACUACCGGUACCGUGACGGUACCUCACCAGAAAGCCACGGCUAACUACGUGCCAGCCGCCGCCGUAA
rnacentral:rRNA from 1 species